CCUACGGGAGGCAGCAGUGAGGAAUAUUGGUCAAUGGACGCAAGUCUGAACCAGCCAUGCCGCGUGCAGGAAGACGGCUCUAUGAGUUGUAAACUGCUUUUGUACGAGGGUAAACUCAGAUACGCGUAUCUGUCUGAAAGUAUCUUACGAAUAAGGAUCGGCUAACUCCGUGCCAGCAGCCGCGGUAAUACGGAGGAUUCAAGCGUUAUCCGGAUUUAUUGGGUUUAAAGGGUGCGUAGGCGGUCGGAUAAGUUAGAGGUGAAAUCCCGAGGCUCAACUUCGGAAUUGCCUCUGAUACUGUGCGGCUAGAGAGUAGUUGCGGUAGGCGGAAUGUAUGGUGUAGCGGUGAAAUGCUUAGAGAUCAUACAGAACACCGAUUGCGAAGGCAGCUUACCAAGCUACGUCUGACGUUGAGGCACGAAAGCGUGGGGAGCAAACAGGAUUAGAUACCCGGGUAGUC
rnacentral:rRNA from 1 species